rnacentral:rRNA from 1 species
AUUGAACGCUGGCGGCAUGCCUUACACAUGCAAGUCGAACGGUAACAGGUCUUCGGAUGCUGACGAGUGGCGAACGGGUGAGUAAUACAUCGGAACGUGCCUAGUAGUGGGGGAUAACUACUCGAAAGAGUGGCUAAUACCGCAUGAGAUCUACGGAUGAAAGCAGGGGAUCGCAAGACCUUGUGCUACUAGAGCGGCCGAUGGCAGAUUAGCUAGUUGGUGGGGUAAAGGCCUACCAAGGCAACGAUCUGUAGUUGGUCUGAGAGGACGACCAGCCACACUGGGACUGAGACACGGCCCAGACUCCUACGGGAGGCAGCAGUGGGGAAUUUUGGACAAUGGGCGCAAGCCUGAUCCAGCCAUGCCGCGUGUCUGAAGAAGGCCUUCGGGUUGUAAAGGACUUUUGUCCGGGAGCAAAUACCCAGUGCUAACAACGCUGGGGGCUGAGAGUACCGGAAGAAUAAGCACCGGCUAACUACGUGCCAGCCGCCGCCGUAAGAC